UUGAUUCUCUCUUAUUCCUAGUCAUUCAAAUCAAAAAUGGCAGGCUGCAAGUGGGUUGUAGUAUGCCUGAGUGCAUCCAAAUUUGGGCUUUAGCUCACAAAGGUUAUGCAAGCAGAGUAUGAACUGAUGGGCUUGAAGAUUAUUGAGCAAGCAGCAACUCAAGUUAGAGGCUUUUCAGUGAAAGGUAGGCUACCUGGUGUGAGUUUUGUUUUUUUUCCAACAGGUGCUUAUUUUUCAGGCAGUGCAGCAGUACAAUAGAGUGUUGGACCUGGCAUUAGGAAGUGAUGAAUUCAAAUCAUGCCUCAGAUACUUGCUAGCUGUGUGACCCUGGGCUAGGAGCAAUGAAGUUUCUGAAUGUUUGACACAAAGCUUUAAGAAAGGUUCCAUAUGCUGUGGAUUUCACUCUUGAUAUCACUGAAUUUAAUGAGAAAAUGGAAAUAUCAAGAAAGGUGGAGCUGCAACAAUCUCUGAAGAUUAGAAAAUUUUGGAAGCCAGAAGUGCCUGAGAUGACUGCAAGCUCAAAGAAGGCAGAAGCUUGAGAACUUUUGAAGAAGACUCCAGAAGGUUGUGGUGCUUGGGCUCUCACCAAUUCUGCCCCACCUCUCAUGGGAGGCAAGGGUAGUUAUCUUCACUAAGAAGAGCAUCUCCUACUGACGAACUUUAGGACAGGGAUUACAGCCAAAAAUGUAUUCUAAAAGUAUUAUGAACUAUUCAUUGAAAAGUGAAGAGAAUUGAUUUAAAAUCUGUGAGGAGGCAACUAUUAUCAUCCAGGCAGAACGUUCUGAGAGUCUGGGCUAAUAAACAAAGAAGAAGUCAUAGAGAAGAUGGAGUGCAUAUAAGAGAUGCUGUGGAGACUGAAUCAACAAUAAGUGCUAAUUGUUUGGAUUGAGAGGUGAGGGGUAAACAGAGUUCAAGACAGUCUGAUGGUUAUAAGUGAGAGAAAUUAGUAUAGACUCACACAAUUUGAGGUAUGUGGAGUUUUAAAUGGUGGAUUUCAGGGGAAAUGUCUUAUGGACAGUUGGAAAUACUUGCCUGGAACUCAGAAGGGAAGUCAGGGUGAACUUGGGAUUUGGGAGUCACCUGCAUAAAAUUGAAGACACAUCCCUCUUAGUUUUCCUGGCUUCCUUCAAGACUCAAUUCAAAGCAGAUCUUCUGCAAGAGGCUACUCCUGGUCCCCACCAGCUACUAGCACUUCCCUUUCUCUAAUCACCUUCCAUUUAUUUUCUAUAUAACGUGUCAUUCCCUCAGCAUUUACAAGCUGUCCACCCUAUUCACAUGUUAGUUCUAUGAUAGCUUGGACUCUUUUUGCCUUUCUCUUAUUUUUCUAGUUCUUGGAACAGUAUCUGGUACGUAUUGUUCAGUUAUUCAAUCAUGUCCAAUCCAUGAAUGAGUCCCCAUGGACAAGUUUCCUUGGAAAAGAUGUUGGAAUAGUUUGCUAUUUCCUAGUCCAUUGUGUUCCCAUUUUACAGGGAAGAAACUAAGGCAAAUAGGAAUUAUGUGAUUUGCCCAGGGUCACACUAGUAAGCUACUUAGGCAGGGUUUAAAUUUGGAUCCAACUCCAGGUGAGUACUCUACCUGCUGCACUACCUAGCUGCCCACAGUUAGCAUUUAAUAAAAACUUA
rnacentral:lncRNA from 1 species